rnacentral:rRNA from 1 species
AACGUAGGGGGCCAGCGUUGCUCGGAAUUACUGGGCGUAAAGGGUCUGUAGGCGGUGCGGCAAGUCGGAAGUGAAAUCGCAGGGCUUAACUCUGCGGCUGCUUCCGAAACUGCCGUGCUCGAGUGUGAGAUAGGCGAGUGGAAUUGCAGGUGUAGCGGUGAAAUGCGUAGAUAUCUGCAGGAACAUCCGAGGCGAAAGCGGCUCGCUGGAUCACAACUGACGCUGAGAGACGAAAGCUAGGGGAGCAAGCAGG